UACAGAGGUCUCAAGCGUUGUUCUGAUUCAUUGGGCGUAAAGGGUGUGUAGGUGGCGCCGUAAGUCGGGUGUGAAAUCUCGGGGCUUAACUCCGAAACUGCAUUCGAUACUGCGGUGCUUGAGGACUGGAGAGGAGACUGGAAUUCAUGGUGUAGCAGUGAAAUGCGUAGAGAUCAUGAGGAAGACCAGUGGCGAAGGCGGGUCUCUGGACAGUUCCUGACACUGAGACACGAAGGCCAGGGGAGCAAACGGG
rnacentral:rRNA from 1 species